rnacentral:tRNA from 1 species
GAGGGUAUAGCUCAGUGGUAGAGUGUGUGCUUAGCAUGCACAAGGUCCUGGGUUCAAUCCCUAGUCCUGUCA